UACUUGGUGUGAAUUGCAGAAUCCCGUGAACCAUCGAGUCUUUGAACGCAAGUUGCGCCUGAAGCCUUGGCUGAGGGCACGCCUGCCUGGGUGUCACACAUCGCGUUGCCUCCAAAACCUUUCCCCUUAUAACAUUGUGGCGAUGGUUUGGAUGCGGAAGAUGGCCUCCCGUGGCCGAGAGCCACGGAUGGCCAAAAUUUGUGCUAGGGAAGCGAAGCGCCACGGCGUUCGGUGGUCGGAACAGCCCUUGAGGCGUUGAAGCCCGUGGUAGCCGCUAGAGUCCCCAGCCCACGACCCUAAUCGUUAACCGACGCGACCUCAGGUCAGGCGGGGCUACCCGCUGAGUUUAAGCAUAUCAAUAAGCGGAGG
rnacentral:rRNA from 2 species